GUACAUGUAGCUCAGUGGUAGAGCACAUGUUUAGUAUGUAUGAGAUCCUGGGUUCAACACAGCAUGUCCA
rfam:Ictidomys tridecemlineatus contig029507, whole genome shotgun sequence.